rnacentral:lncRNA from 1 species
AGGGCAUCCCCACUCGAGUGGAGCUGCUGCAGCGUGCCCCAGGAGUGGCACAGAACGCACGCCAGAUGGCAUACAUCCAGCCUGGCAGCGGCGGCAUUAUCUCCGUCGGCCUUGCCCGCCUGGCUGCCAGCAUGAAGGUGGGCCUCCCUCUCCGCCACAGAAUGGCUGCUGUGUUCUUUCGGCACAGUCAAUAUCCAAUAUAGGGAGUGCAUGAGGGUGUGGUCCUAGGAAGCCUCGAGAUGCAAUGAGAUGCGAAACAAUACUAGGCUGCAGACUCUUGUGGGCCCCACAGAUGUGGCUGCAGACCCCCUACGUGUAUGCCCUAUGGCCUUUGGUUUUGGAUUUGCCGACCUGCCGACCUCAAAUGAUAAUGAUACUGAUAGUCGGGUCACAUGGGGGAGUCACAGAACAAGCAUAAACAGUGAUAAAACUCAUGCUGACAGGUGCCAGAAGGGUCAGCAAGGCCUGGAGAGGGGACGGACGGGGCACUGGCCAGCAUGCAGGCCCAUUUGGCUGCUGGCCGGCUGGCAGAGGCAGCCGAUGCCCUGGAAGCCGGCACCAAGGACACCGCUGCAGAGAAGGCUGCCUCGGAGUGGGCGCGUGAUGCGCGGGCCAGGGCCCUUGCGGAUCAGACCACUGCGCUGCUGCAGGCGCAUGCCUGCUCGCUUGCAGUCAGCCAGUCCUGAGGCCGUUCUGCUUGUCUUCCUUGUAGCUUUGGAUAGUCGGUGUAGGAAGGAUGCCGCAGGUUUGUGAUGCGUCCAUGGAUCCUAUUCCUUGUGUAGCUGCAGCUCCAAUCAACAUGCUCCUGCUUUCUACUUCUUCCAGAACUGCUGCUAGCUUACAGUGGUAAUAUCAUCAUGAUUGGAGGCAUUUGGUAGCUUACAUGGCUUCUGAUGCUCUGUCAGCAGACUCAGUCAGAAUCUCAGCUUCUCACACUGGACUGCCAGUCCAGUGGAGGAUGCAUCCAGUAGGUAA